rnacentral:lncRNA from 1 species
GGAGGAUAGAGGUAGUAAAAGAAAUGAUCAACACCCAUAGAUAUUUUUUGUCAUUUAUAUUUAAAUUUUUAUUGUGGUAUAACAUAGCAAAGUGAAUGAUUUUUAAAUGUACUACUGUAUUAAUAUUCACAAAUUAUACAUACUUAUACAUGUAGUAAUCACAACACAGAUCAAUGUACAAAAUAUUUCAACACCCCAGAAAUCAGUACUGCUUUCUUUUUUCUUUUGUUUUGUUUGUUUUUUUUUCUGGCCAGCUAUAUAUCCCCAAGAGGCAGUUGUUACGCUGGCUUCUAUCACUGCGAUGAGUUUUGUCUGUUCUUGAAGUGCAUACAAAUGGACUUAGUACAGUCUUAUGUCUGGCCUUUUUCACCCAUUAUUUC